UCGCCUGUUUAUUAAAAACAUGGCUUAUUGAUUUUGAUUUUAAGUCUGACCUGCUCAAUGAUUUUUUAAUAGCUGCAGUAUUUUGACUGUACAAAGGUAGCAUAAUCAUUAGUUUUUUAAUUGAAAGCUGGAAUGAAGGGUUGAAUGAAAAAAUUUCUGUCUCUAUAAAAGUUUAAAAGAAAUUUAUUUUUAAGUAAGAAAGCUUAAAUGUUUUUAGAAGACGAGAAGACCCUAUAGAGUUUUAUAAUUUAAAAAUAAGGUUUUAUUUAAGUUUUAUUAAUCUUUAUUUAUUAAAUUAUUUUAUUGGGGUGAUUGAAAAAUUAAUAAAACUUUUUUUGUAUGAGAUCAUUGAUUUAUGAAUAAUUGAUCCUUAAAUUAAGAUUAGUAGAUAAAAUUACCUUAGGGAUAACAGCGUAAUUUUUUUUAGAGUUCUUAUUGAAAAAGAAGAUUGCGACCUCGAUGUUGGAUUAAAAUAAAUUAUUGGUGAAGAAGCUAAAUAAUUAGGUCUGUUCGACCUUUAGAAUUUUACAUGAUCUGAGUUUAAACCGGUGUGAGCCAGGUCGGUUUCUAUCU
rnacentral:rRNA from 1 species